UACGGGGGGGGCAAGCGUUGUUCGGAAUUACUGGGCGUAAAGGGCUCGUAGGUGGCCAACUAAGUCAGACGUGAAAUCCCCAGGCUUAACCUGGGAACUGCGUCUGAUACUGGAUGGCUUGAAUUCGGGAGAGGGAUGCAGAAUUCCAGGUGUAGCGGUGAAAUGCGUAGAUAUCAGGAGGAACACCGGUGGCGAAGGCGGCCCUCUGGACGGUGACUGACGCUGAGACGCGAAAGCGUGGGGAGCAAACAGG
rnacentral:rRNA from 1 species